GGCUACCAUGCAGUCGAGCGGCAGCGGAGGUACCUUGCUACUUUGCCGGCGAGCGGCGGACGGGUGAAUAAUGUCUGGAAAACUGCCUGAUGGAGGGGGAUAACUACUGGAAACGGUAUCUAAUACCGCAUAACGUCGCAAGACCAAAGAGGGGGACCUUCGGGCCUCUUGCCAUCAUAUGUGCCCAUAUGGGAUUAUCUAAUAGGUGGGGUAACGGCUCACCUACGCGACUAUCCCUAUCUGGUCUGAGAGGAUGACCACCCACUCUGGAACUGACACACGGUCCACACUCCUACGGGAGGCAGCAGUGGGGAAUAUUGCACAGUGGGCGCAAGCCUGAUGCACCCGUGCCGCGUGUAUGAAAAAGGCCUUCGGGUUGUAAAGUAUUUUCCGCGGGGAAGAGGGUGUUGAGGUUAAUAACCUCCACUUUUGACUUUACCCGCAAAAAAAGCCCCGGCUAACUCCGUGCCAACCCCCGCGGUAAUACGGAGGGUGCAAGCGUUAAUCAGAAUUACUGGGCAUAAAGCGCACGCACGCGCUCUGUCAACUCAGAUGUGAAAUCCCCGGGCUCAACCUGGGAACUGCUUUCGACAGUGGCGCGCUAGACUCGUGUAGAGGGGGGUAGAAUUCCGUGUGUAGCGGUGAAGUGCAUAGAGAUCUGGAAGAAUACCGGUGGCAAACGCGCCCCCCUGGACAAACACUGACUCUCAUGUGCGAAAGCGUGGGGAGCACACGAGAUUAUAUACCCUGGUAGUCCACCCCAUACACUAUGUCCACUUGGAUGGUGUGCCCGUGACGCGUGGCUUCCAGAUCUAACGCUUUAACUCCACCGCCUGGGGAGUACCGCCGCAAGGUUAACACUCAUAUGAUUUGACGGGGGGCCCGCACACGCGGGGGAGCAUGUGUUUUUAUUUCUAUGCAGCGCAAAGAACCUUCUCUACUCUUGAUCUCCAGAGAUUUUCCCAUAUAUGGGUUGGGGUCCUUCUCGGAGAACCUCUGAAAAACGAGCUGGCAGCAUGGUCUU
rnacentral:rRNA from 1 species